rnacentral:rRNA from 1 species
GAUGAACGCUGGCGGCGUGCCUAAUACAUGCAAGUCGAGCGAACGGACGAGAAGCUUGCUUCUCUGAUGUUAGCGGCGGACGGGUGAGUAACACGUGGAUAACCUACCUAUAAGACUGGGAUAACUUCGGGAAACCGGAGCUAAUACCGGAUAAUAUUUUGAACCGCAUGGUUCAAAAGUGAAAGACGGUCUUGCUGUCACUUAUAGAUGGAUCCGCGCUGCAUUAGCUAGUUGGUAAGGUAACGGCUUACCAAGGCAACGAUGCAUAGCCGACCUGAGAGGGUGAUCGGCCACACUGGAACUGAGACACGGUCCAGACUCCUACGGGAGGCAGCAGUAGGGAAUGUUCCGCAAUGGGCGAAAGCCUGGCGGAGCAACGCCGCGUGAGUGGUGAAGGUCUUCGGAUCGUAAAACUCUGUUAUUAGGGAAGAACAUAUGUGUAAGUAACUGUGCACAUCUUGACGGUACCUAAUCAGAAAGCCACGGCUAACUACGUG